rnacentral:lncRNA from 1 species
CUUCUCUGUCUGGCUCUAAUUGUGGAGACAAAAAACCCACAUGACUUUUACUCAAUGGACCUCAAUCUAGAGAAGCACUAUGACAUUUGCAAAUUAUUUCUUAAUCGGACUAAGCUACCGAGGAGUGCAGGGAGAGGAGGUAGUGUUCUGGAAAUGGAGGAACAGCUCGGAUGUUAGCUGGCAUAGUCUUCCCAGCAGUUUGCUUUCCCCCAAAAGGCGCACUGGUGUAACUGUCAAACGCAAAAUAAAGCAGAACUGGCAGCUUCACGGUCCCUUCUGUCCUUGGAUGAAUGGCCCAGCAUUGCUGUUUUUGCUCUUGUGUCUACUCAGGAUCAUCUGUGACAAGAAUAGUCAACUAAGAAGAAACAGGAGGCAAUGGGAUACUCUGGGCCACAAGUAAAAACCACCUUCCACGAUUGCUGUGGAGGUGAUGCUGCCAACCUGAACGUGUCUAUCUGGCACCAGCUCCCUGAGCGAGUGGAAUUAAGAGAACCAGGAAGGAGACAUGGGAGGUGCCCGAGGCAGCUCCUGCAUCCGCAGGAGGAGCGGAGAAGGGAGCAAGGUGGCCUUGUGCACCUGACCCUGGUGGAGCAGCCACACACAAGCUGGAGCUGGAGAGUGGGAGUGGAGGACAGGGUGCUGUGAGUUCCAGAGACCAGAGACAGGGAUGGUAAUGUUAACUGUAACCCAGUAUGAGUGCCAUAGCGAUGAGUGAUGUAAAGGUGGGCAGUGCCAUUGUCAAUAUUCAUACAUUCUAUGUAUCAUGAACUAGCUGGUGACUUUCAAAUGAAAGAUGACUCAUAAAAUAAAAAAGCAAACCUCUGAAUAAAGGUAAAUUGAAAUAUUGUCACUUCUGGAAGUGUAAUUUUUAAAAAAUCACCUACUUUUGAUCCUUUGUGCCUUAUAAUAAAUAAGCAAAUCUUACUGGGUCUUCAAUAAAAAGCAAAUAGGAUUUCACAAUAAAUCGUUGUAGGAAACCAAG